CUGCAUGUUAUAAGCUCUUUUUCGGCUCCUUUUCUCCUUGGAGCAUGAAUACACCCAUAACAUGCUAUAUUAAAAAAGAAAAAAGGAGUUUUCAGGGCCUCCAGCCUUGAAGUAAAAGGUUGAGAGGUAGUAUAUUUCUCCUACAUUG
rnacentral:snoRNA from 2 species